rnacentral:rRNA from 1 species
UGCGUAGGGUGCGAGCGUUAAUCGGAAUUACUGGGCGUAAAGCGUGCGCAGGCGGUUCGUUGUGUCGGCGGUGAAAGCCCCGGGCUCAACCUGGGAAUGGCCGUUGAAACUGGCGAACUGGAGUGUGGCAGAGGGGGGUGGAAUUCCGCGUGUAGCAGUGAAAUGCGUAGAUAUGCGGAGGAACACCGAUGGCGAAGGCAAUCCCCUGGGCCUGCACUGACGCUCAUGCACGAAAGCGUGGGGAGCAAACAGG